AGUCGAACGAUGACGGUGGUGCUUGCACCGCCUGAUUAGUGGCGAACGGGUGAGUAACACGUGAGUAACCUGCCCUCCACUUCGGGAUAACCUCGGGAAAUCGUGGCUAAUACCGGAUACGAGCACUCAUCGCAUGGUGGGUGUUGGAAAGAUUUAUCGGUGGGGGAUGGACUCGCGGCCUAUCAGUUUGUUGGUGAGGUGAUGGCUCACCAAGACGAUGACGGGUAGCCGGCCUGAGAGGGCGACCGGCCACACUGGGACUGAGACACGGCCCAGACUCCUACGGGAGGCAGCAGUGGGGAAUAUUGCACAAUGGGCGAAAGCCUGAUGCAGCGACGCCGCGUGGGGGAUGACGGCCUUCGGGUUGUAAACCCCUUUCAGUAGGGAAGAAGCGAAAGUGACGGUACCUGCAGAAGAAGCGCCGGCUAACUACGUGCCAGCAGCCGCGGUAAUACGUAGGGCGCAAGCGUUGUCCGGAAUUAUUGGGCGUAAAGAGCUCGUAGGUGGCUUGUCGCGUCUGCCGUGAAAACCCGAGGCUCAACCUCGGGCGUGCGGUGGGUACGGGCAGGCUAGAGUGUGGUAGGGGAGACUGGAACUCCUGGUGUAGCGGUGAAAUGCGCAGAUAUCAGGAAGAACACCGAUGGCGAA
rnacentral:rRNA from 1 species